GGGACUGCAAGGUUUCUACAUAUUGAGUUUAUAAAUAAUUAAUUAUUAAAAAAAUAUUUUACAUUAAAAUUUAAAUGCAAAAAAUAAUAUUUUAACUUUUUCUAAUAAGGCUAUUCUCGCUUAAUUUAUUAGAGUAUUAAAUAAAAAAAUACAAUUUUUAUUUGAUAAAUUAAUUUAUGUAUGCUCUUGAUUCUAUUUUAAUAUUUAUAUUAAAUUUUCAAGGAAAGUAUUUAAAUUUGAAAAAUUUAUAGAAAUUUUCUAUCAAUGAAUUUAAAUAUUCUAACUGAUAGAAUCAAUCUUAAUUACUUAAUAUCAAUAUGGACGUGGGUUCAAUUCCCUCCAGUUCCA
rnacentral:tmRNA from 1 species